CGUAGUUAGUCGGUACGUUGCGUGUUCGUACGUAUGAAAGUUCAGUUAUUUGUGAAAAAUGGAACCUCUAUUCCAGUUAAACAUUGAGAAUAUCGAUAUUUUGCUCGUGAACACGAAAGAGAGGUUAAUGCUGCACGAUGAAUAUUCUCAGAUCACAUGUAUCGAACGAAUAUCCAACUUAUUCAAAAGUGGUGGCGCUGCGAACACAGAAGCGGCUCUUUCAAAGUUGAUCAAGUUCGACAUACUCUCAACUAUAUUCGAACUUCUACAAACUUCCAGUGAUCGUCUACUUCCAUGUAUUCUCAAUUUUCUGGACUUGGUAAUCGUAUAUCGAAAGUUUUACGAAAGUCACGUAGCCACAGACGCCAUGGACUCCAUCUUGAAAGUUACAGUUUGCGUCGCAAAGUCUCGUUGCAAAGAAACCGAACUAUUAGAGAAGCUUAUUUCAAUCAUUUACGAUAUACUUCACAGAGCGGUAGAAUUUCACGUGAAUUUCGACAUUGUUUGUGUACCACGGCAAGUACUGAUGCUCUUGAAAUCUUUGAUCUUGGAAGAUUCUUGGAAUCAAAAGAUAAAGUUCUCAUCUGUUACGCUAUUAAAUCUUGUUCUUGAAAACGUUAACGCUGAAGACGAAUGGGAUGAUGGGGUAUAUGAACUGUGCCACAAAGCUCUCAAUUUAAUGAAAGAGAUCGUCGAGUAUAGCGACGACGACGUCUCGAUUUCGUUUGCUGCGGAUGCAUUGUGUGCUGUUUGCGCCUCUGUCACACGAUUAUGCGUCGCGGAAGACGAUAGUCAAGGAUCGUUCAAUAAAGUUUCGAAACUUAGAGCAACGAUGCUGAAGACGAUUCGCAUCAUGAUGAUGAACACGUUGGUACCUUACGUUAAGACCGCGGAGUCAAACGAAACAGACAGGGUCAAAUUCCAUAGGAACCUCGUGACUUGUCUGAACAACCUUUACAAGCUGAGCAGUAGCUGCGGCCGCGACAACUUGUCAAACCACUUGACCGCCAACGGAUAUCUCAAGUACUUCUUGCUGUUAACUACCAGACUUCCAGAAAUUUUACGACGUAGCAUUUGCUUGCUGUUAUCGCGGAUCGUAGCAAAUUUAGCUGAUAAAUCCAUGCCGAUCUACCAACCUAUCAAUCGAGAAAUAAGCUUCGAAUAUCUAAUACACCGAGGACUGGUGGAUCUACCAAAAGAUACUGAACAAUGGGAGAAUAUCAUGGCUCAUGAUCGAGGAAACAGAGCAAUUGCAUUGAUGACGUUGGUUUACUAUCACUUUCACGGAACCAGGGAGACCUAUAUGAUAUGCUUGAAAUUGCUGAUCGCGAGGACUGUCAAUCUCCCUAAAUCCGAGCAGACACCGGCGCAAAUUUUAAAAGUUUUAUGGUUUCUGUUUGCUGUCGCGUCCGUAUCGCAUCCAUCACCGUGCUCGGAACAGGAUUACGACAGAGCCGCGAAACGAUUGGCAACUGCGUUGCAAUAUUCCAACCUGAACGACUGUUACACUCAUCACAUAGAUCUGCUAAAUUAUUGCUUGAAUUGCCCUGAAUUCCCAAAGGAUCUUCGAAACAGAGCGAUGGACUUGUGGUUGGUCGAGUCUGAUGGAGACAUCAAACCGUUGCUGACCAUAGAUUGCGGGAAAGUUGUGCAACACUAUCUAAUGCUUGUCAUACAAACUGGAUAUUCGGAUAAGAUAAUCAACUUAGCGAUGAAAGGAAUUAGAGAGAUGGUACGCCUGGAUAAUGCCAAGGAAAUUGCAGAGAUAGCUUGGCACAUGUUGCCUAAUCUUCUUUCUACUUAUCAACCAUCCAAAGACGAGCAAGUGAAAGCCGUGUUAGAAUUAAGCAACGUAUCCAUCCCGGACUCAUUAUCAUGGAUCAUCAGGAUUCGAUGCGCAGAGAGUCUCAUACCGAUUAUUCUACGCCGGGAAGCGGACUUGAAGCUAAGGACACUAGCAAUAUUGCAGUCGUACGCGUUGCUGGUCACGUCCGCGACGAUUAAGCCAUACACGAUUCUCGAGAAGUAUUGCACGACGCCGAGCUUUUUGGAGGAGUUGCUCGUUCAAGGUUUCUCUUUAGAAACGCCAGAAUUGUCCGCCGUGUGCUUGAAGCUUCUCGCGUUUAUCGUACACUGUCAGGAGAAAUCGUCGAUACAGCGUGAUAAGCCGGUGACGAUUGACGUGCAGAGCUUAGCCGAUUUGCUGUUAAAUACGAGGAGGGCCGUGCACUCGUCGAUCAAUGGAAUGCAACUCGCGCUGGAACUUUUAACUCAAAAUAUUGACGGAUCGCCUGUCAGGCUGGACGAGAUCCCCGCCGAUCGGACCGAGGGUGUGAUCAAUCUUUACGAGACCCUUCAUAUCGUUCACGAAAGAAGUGACCCCACGCAAAGAGACAUUGUGUACCAGUGCCUCCAAGGCGUCCUGAAAUUUUGCCAUAAGCACACGAAACUGCCGAUGUACCAUAUCUGCACGUUGAUGAGCAACUAUGAUAUCGUAUCUAGCAUCCUGCAGACACGUGGCGUAACCUACCAUUUUCUGGAUUUCGUUUCAACCUGGCUCCGCUAUCGCAGAAGAUAUUGCACCGAUGAAGGACCAUGGAACGCGAGAUCUCUUUGCAAGACACCGUUUGAGGAGACUUUGGAUCGGAUCAAGAGCUACGUUAACACUGCAAACGAUUCAAGAAACGACGCGGCGUUCUAUAAUCUUCUCUACGCGAUGCAGGGAACGGGGGCGGCGUGCUAGGGUGCCGUUUGUCAAACGUUUGGCACACUGCCGAAUCCUGGCUCGUGUGCACCUGACCCCAAGUGCAACAAGUACAAUUAGGGAAAGCAGAACUUACGUGAACUGACCUGCGCACCAUCGACCUCCUGCAAUCGAUAUAGAUUUCUGCCAGCCUCGUCCUGUCCGGCUUUCCUUCCUGCAGUCAGGUUGACCUACCACGCCAAGACGCCACACCGUAUACCCCAUAUUAGGAUCGUCCUUUGCGAAAUGGCCGAGAGUGGAGUGAAAAUGGCGAACAGCAGCAUCUGUGCAACGCGGCAAAUCCGCAGGCAAGAAAACUGGCUUAAUCCUCUUACGUCCGCUGCUCUGUCGCGGAAAAAUGGCGUUCCCCGGCUGACCUUAAACCCGACAGAAACACGAGCAAGGGCUCUCGCUCCCUGCGAGAGAGAGAGAGAGAGAGAGAGAGAGGAAAUCACAGCUCGCUCGUGCUAGAAAAGUCUCUGCUAGCUAUUUGCCAGCGAAUCAUCGUUAAGAAGAUUUUUCUGCCGUUCGAGAAAAUGAAACGAAAUUGAACUCUAUUCAUUUGGUCCCCAACCAUCUCUAGCAGCCGUUCUUUUUUAAUUAAACACCGAUAGCAAAGAAAUAGAAAAGAUUUUCUAAACCAUCCUCGAUGCUUUCGAAUUUUGUUGCCUCAUGCACAAAACAAAUAUCAUGAUCAUUAUUUUCAAUUAUGAAACUAAACAGGCGUGAACGAUAUAGUUUAAGGCCCAUAGAAGAAACACACAGAACAGUUACAUUUUUCAAAUUUCAUAGAGAUACAAUUUUAAAACAAAAUCGUAUUCUUCGCUACGUUGUCGAUCGAUUUUACGUCAGCAAUUUGUCAAAUUUUUAUUUCAUUUUGGUCAAUAUUAAAUGCAUGUGUACAUUUGCUAAUUUCUCGAACAAGUGUACAAACAUUUUCGCGUGCAUUAAAGUGCAUUAAAAUUCGACUCGCAUAUUCAACGAUCUACGCGAUUGCUCGUCGAAUCUUUCUUCAUCGAAUCGAUGAGAAAACUUGUUAGAGCGCUCGUGUAUGUCGUCGUUACAUAAUUACGAGUAGCCGUGAUGGCUUAUAAUCAAGGUCUGUUUGCCAAAAGCGGCCUUGGUAAGAAAAUAAUUGCCAGCGAAGCUCGUCGAUCCUUUGUCGAGCACGUCCAUUUAAGGAGGAACAUCGUCGUUUUCGUAGCUGCUUCUCCUGCGACGGACGAACGUCACAAAGGUCGCCGAUGAUACGUUCGACGAAGUUGGGGUAAAUUAGUACGAGACUUCGUUGCAUCCCUUGAAAAGUGCACGGCUCGUUUCUCGGCACUGAGACGUAAUUUCGACGUGACGCUCGUUAAUUACGCCCUCGACAAGCGCGAUAUACGGCAGUGCAGUUUUCUGCCGCCCGAUCUUCCCGACUGCUGCCUUGCCUCGCAAUUUCUCCCGCUUGCACUUCAUUAAGCCAGUCUUACAAUGUUCUUGUUUCCUCUGCAUAUACACAUACCUGACACGAAUCUCAGUAUUGAGAGGACUCGAGAGCCGUCGAGUAGUGUUGCUUUGGGAAACCGAGGAUGUAUUUACAGUUAUGUUUGUAUUCGAAGGUUGUCAGAUGGGCUUCCGCGGAAAUUUGGGAAUUCGAGCAAUAGCGCGUUAUUUUCGAAAGUUGAAAAGGAAAAUCGAGGGAGAAAUUUCAAUAAUGACGUUCGCUGUGUAAUUAAUAUGUGUUUAUAUUUAGAGCGUGUUGCCAAUUUAUCGAUAAAUAUUAAUAACGUUUUGGAGAGAUUCGGGAAUUCCAAAUGUAAUAUAUAAUUAACGAACGUUGAACAGAAGAAGGAGGACAAAUUUUUAUUGCCAUUUUGUCUGUGAAAUUUGUACGUUUGUGUUUAAUGUGACGUGCUAUAAUUAAUCAACAGUACUCCGUGCGUGAAUAUUCUUAAAGUCAAUUUUAAACUAGGAAAACGCAAAUCAGGUUUAAUCUAACGGAUGCACGCGCGAAAUCUUUUUAAAAAUAUUAUUUUAAACAUACGCAUCGUAAAACUUGCUAACAACGAGUACGUGUUACGUAAUAUAUUAAAUACGUAUGUUCAUCGUACAGAACCUGUUAUAAACGAGUAUCACGUACAUUUCUUUGUAUCUCUGGAAACGUGAAAAAUGUCUGUAUCUCGACCAUUAUUCGUAAUGAAAGUAACAUGUAUUUUACACAUGCAUCAACGUAGAAUUCUAAUUAAUUGACCUAAUUGUUCAUUUUCUCAUAUUCUCUUUAUUACGAAUGUACUCGUUAUUAAAAAACCGAGAAAGGUCUAAUAGAAUAGGACGUCGAAUAUAAUUCAACACACGUAGAACUACAAAAGGACGAAUAAGCAAUAUUAAUUGUAUUCUCUUGAAACAAUAAACCAGUUGAAUACCCCGUAGACAUACUGAUGAAUAAUCUGGCACUUACAAAGUAAACAUCCGUACUGUAACAACACAAUAACCAGAAGAACCACAGAGUAGUUCCAUCCUCUAGAAAAGAUGAAUUUCUUCCUAGCAAUAUGGCAGCAAUUUCUCGACAAACCUCCCUUUAUAAAGGAUUCUCGUUUCCCCGCAAGAAUAUUAUUUCGAUCUUAGAAGAUAAUUCCGCCCGUUUGCAAUUUUCCUACGUUGCAGAAUCCUUAAAACGUUCAAUGUACUUCCCUGCAACACAACAGCCUGGAACACGUUCUCCGAAAAACAUUCCAAUCGCGAGCAAAAUUUCAUCCUUUGCUACGUCCGCCAGCCUCUCGAAACCCACAAUAUUCCAUGAAACUUCCACUUUACAACCUCCCUCUCCCUCUCCCUCUCCCUCUCUCUCUCUCUCUCUCUUUCUAACACACACACACACACACUCCUUCUCCCUUUCUGCCUCGUUGGCAAGCAAGUCCUUCUCCACGCCCCAACCGUGCGCUUUACCCCAAGAAAAUAUGAAUAUAAUCCCUGAAAUACGAUCAAAAAAUUCGCAAAUCAUUUUUGUCGAGCGUGAAUGUUGCCAGUAAUCGUUGGAAAACCUGGAGACCAGGGAUCGAAACUGGAUUUUUCACGAGCUUUCGUGGAUUUUUUACGAUGGAGCACUCAUAACGGAGAGGUUGGUGGCGAGAAAUCUUCGAGAAAAUCGCGUGAUGGAAUUAGAAUUCAAUCGAAGCGUCUAGCAGGGAAGAGAAAGGAGGGCGAAUAGGACAAUGAAAAUGGGGGGAACCGGUGGGAAAUGUGGGAAAAGUGCUCGUCGAGAAUCUCUAGCGAAGCCACGGAUUAAUAACGAGGAUGUUUUAAUAAUCUCGACGGACGCGUAUCGAGCUGGAAACCGCAGGAGCAAUCUAAUCUGUGGAUUGGAUAAAUUCCAGCGCACCUGCUCGCGUGUGUUUAGCUAAAAAAUUCAAUCAGCUAUGGCGACCGGGCUUUAUUCGAUGCGUGAUCCGUUCCACAUUUCGCCAACCAUAUUUCGUUUGAUUUUUCCAAAUGAAAAAGCAAAUAUCACACGGUCGAUAAUCGAGAAUCGUAUUGAUAUUGUACAUUGAUAAAGUGAACCGGAGAUUUUUGGUGCGAAGAUAAUUAGAUCUCUCGAUUCGCUUCGAACUUAAUCCAGGUCCAGUUCGAGCACUUGGCUUAUCUAUUCUAGAAUUGGACCCGUUUGAUUGUAAUUUGGAUCUAAUCCACAGGUUACUUCGUCCAAUCUAGCGUAAUUCGAGGUUUAAGCUAGGAUAUGGCUUAAUAAGUACAGUCUAAUUACCAUCUAACCUCCUUUGAAUGUGAAAUAAUCUCCUGAUAAGACAGAUAUAAUCUUCAGAAGCAGAAUAUCACGUGUGUCCAAAGAACCAAUUGAUUCGUGAGAUCGGGAAUGAGCAAGUUUAAAUUUUAAUUAGAAUCGACUUAAUCUGCCUCUUCUCAUUCGAACGUUAAUAGUUCAUACGUUUAAACAAGAAAGCGACUACGCUACUUGAAAAAGGUAUAAAGAAGCAAGUAUACAGGCAGUAUGCGGCAAAUUAAUCCAGCUCGAUUAAAAAGAGCCGCCUUUACGCGUUGGCUAAUUAAAUCCGGUAAAUUAGCGCCGUCGUGAAGGAGCACUGAACGUCAACGGCAGAAAACGCAUAAUAGCGUGGCCAUUUCCGUAACGUCACAUAGCUUUUCCAUCGAAUACAGAGAACAAGAAUGAACUAAAGAGACUCGGAGAGAAUCGAUUCGAACGAGCAACAGAGAUUUGGAUCACUUUUGAUAGCGGUCUGCUUGAGAAAUCCAGCGUUUCUCCCUCUUUACUUCUAUCCCGCGUACUUUCUUCCUUCUCUUUCGCUGGACGAUUUUUCACGGCGAAAAUAAAAAAACAAGAAGGAUCGUUUGAAUAGAAAUUUUCACGGUCUUUAAAAUCUAAGAGUCUCGGUAGACGAGGAAAUCGACGAAUGCGAAACACGGCGCCCGUAUUUGAGCGUAAUGACUGCGGUUCCAGGUCCUUGAAAUCAUUUUCGAGCGUUCUUGCGCGAAUUUCCAGACGCUAAGGGGUAGAGAGGAGAGUAGACGAGUAUUUCACCGAUGAAAGGAAUCAACAGAACCACGGCGAAAACCUUUUAUUCCGCGGACGUCCAUUAUGCCAGUCUUGGAGGCAUCGGGAUUAUGAAUAAUUCGGAAGUAUUUGCUUUUCCGCCUCCGCGUUGGAAUUAAUAAGAAGUUCUCCUGGUAAAUCGCGCACCCGCGCGCUACGCGAGUGGACUUUAUUACAGACUCGUAAUUGCGGAUGGACGAUUUAUUUCUGAGUGAAGUAACACAAACCGUUUUCAAGAUACGGAUAUGAAUUUUAUUCUAAGAAAGGUUCGUGGUUUCUUUAAGUGUAUAGUCAAUUCGCACGAUUAAUCUUUUCCAAUGAUAUUUCGUUCCUUUUAAAUAGUUCGUGAAUGACUUCGUGAAACUUUGAUCAUUUCGGAACCGAAUUUCUGAACUGACACAUACAUACACGCAUACGGACACGUUACCUACAAAUAUUUUUGAAGGAUUUAAUAUUAUGUUAUUGCUAUGUUGUAUUUAGUGCAAUAGUAUAGCUGGAAUUUGUUUCGUGGAUAACCUGCGUUAGAAAAAUAGCUGAAACACAGUGGAUUUAUGUGACCUCGAAAUAUCCUGUGAUAUUGGUAUUAAAAAGUAGCAGUGUGAAACGUAAUUGAUUAUUGAAAGAGAAUUUAUCAUGAAUGUCGAGAAAAAUAAACUACGAACUUUAAACCAGACAGGGAUAUCACUGUUCUUUGGAAAAUUCCUCUCGACGAAUCGAUUCUCUUAAGAAUGCCAAUGUCUUUAAAGAACUGAGUGGGAAGAGGCCGAUCUUACGAAAAAAAAGUUAAUGACGUUCUAGAAGCCAAGACCAAAAUUACAAAAAAAUUGUUGGGAUAAUAAUGAUUUUGUUACAAUUAAAAUUUCAUUCGAUGAUUACGAUUCAUUGGACUACGAAUUUAUUGCGAACGAUAUUAGAGGAAUGAAUAUGUAGCAAAACUGAUUUUAAUAAAUAAUUUCUAAUAUUUAUUAUAUAAUGAUAAUAAAUUUCUUAAUUCUGUUCUAAUACAUAGAGAAACCUUAAAUUAUUUCAGAAAUUAAUAUUAUUGAAAAUGAUAGAAGUAACUCUUAUUAAGGCACACUAGAAUAUGCAAAAGCACCAUCUUUCAUUCAUAUACAUACGUUAUGCGAUUUUAAAUCUGUACGUAAUAGAAUAAUUUAGACAGAAAAUCUUAAAUGUAUUCAUAAGCGUUAACUUUUGAAUUUAUGCGCGCUAGAGUUCUGUUUUAUCGACCCUCGCUA